rnacentral:lncRNA from 13 species
AGCAGGACUGGUCCUGUGGCCAACACACCCUCUACCAACCCUGCAUGGGGCCCCUGACCCCCAAGCCUACAGGCAUACACAUCCCACCAUGAAAAGACCCCAAUCUUCCUGGUGUGAGGGCAGGCAUCAUUUCAGGGUAUCAUCCUCCUGCCCUGUGUGGACAAUGCUGAGCCCCUGAGAGCCGGGAGGGAGGUACCCCAAUACCCAUCUCUUCCACAGUGAAUGUUGCUCCUCAAAGGGUCACUUCCAAAGAAUGCCAGGUGGCACGCACCAGGAUUUGGCAUCUGACAUGCUCCCGUCUGCUCCCUGGGACACUCCAGAUUACAAAGCAAUCAUCCUUUGUAAGCGCUGACGGAGAACAACUGGCUGCUGCCCUUUAUUUAGCAGGGAACACACUAAGCUAUGGACUCCUGCAGGCUCUGUAAAUGUCCGUGAAAUCAGCCUGGUGACUCCAAGCCCAGUGUAGACUUCGGGGGCCCAAAGAGACCAAGGGGGAGCCCCUGCCCCGGUCUGGCUCUGAGAACAGCCUCCAGGAGAAAAUGCCAAGCCUCUGGAACUCGUGGCAGCUGCUCAACCCGGCAAGUUCUUUCUCGGAAAUCGCUUCUCCCCGCUGAGAUCUGGGCUGGCUCUGCACGUUCUGGCCCCCUUUAUCUGCUGGAUGGAGCUGCCUGGGCACCUCCAAAGGCUGCUCCCGUGCAGGCCUGGUCUCCUCUCAACACAGUCAGUGGUCGGGGAUCAGAGGCAGCACUCAUCACAGCAGAGAGGCAGGACCAGCUGGGAGAGGCCCUUCUGUAACACCUACUGCAUCACCAGGCUGUGUGAACAGACUCAGCUGCCAGAACGCACAGAGUAUCAUUCCACACCGAAACCUCACGGGAAAAUGGUAAGUUCUCAUUCCAGCAACUCUCAGAUUAAUCUCUGUCCUCCAUCAAACAAAUGUUUAUAGCUUUGCUUGGGCCUAUUUUUCCAUUUAUUUUUUAUUUUACUGACUGGAAAGAGAGAGAGAGAGAUAUAUAGUGUGUGUGAUUUUGUCUGUGUCAGUCAGGAAAAUCAUGGUUUAAUUCCUAUUAAUGUAUUUAGUAACAUCAUUUAGUUUUUUUCAGCUUUUCAAUUCCUAAGAGUAUUAAUGAGAGUCUCUCUAUCUGGUGAGAAAGAAAACAAAUCCAAACUGUGUAAGGGGAAAAAGAAUGCAUUAAUCACUAGAACUGUAAACUGCAGCACCUGCUCCUCCCCGGGCUCCAGCUCCACGAUCCUCAAACUAUAACAGCUGCACCGGCUCCUCCUAAAUCUCCAGCUCAACAACUCUGGGACUUGAGAGGACGCACCAGCUCCUCCCCACAGCUCCAGCUCCACAACCCUCAGAUUUGAGCAGCAGGAGCACCAGCUCCUGUCCGGGUCUGCAGCUGCACAAUCCUUAAACUAGAACAGCAGCGCUGCCUCUGCCCUGGGUCUCCAGCUCCAUGACCCUAAGAUGUGAAUGACAGCACUGGCUCUUCCCAGGGCUCCAGCUCCAGGACCCACAGACUUGAACAGCAGCACCAGCUCUUCCCUGGAUCUCCAGCUUCACAACCCUCAGACUGAAAUGGCAGCACCCAUCUCUCCCGGAUGUCCAGCUCCACAACCCUCAAACCAAUACAACAUCACUCCUCCUUGAACCUCCAGCUGCAUGACCCUCAAACUAGAAUAAUACCGCUCCUCACUAGGUCUCCAGCUCCACGACCCUCACCCUAGAACAGCAGCAACUGCUUCCCUCUGGAUCUCCAGCUUAACGACUCUCAGACUUGAAAGGCAGCACCGGCUCCUCACCAAGGCUCCAGCUCCAAGACCCUCACACUAGAACAGCAGCAGUAGCUGCACCUUGGGUCUCCAGCUCCACCACCCUCAAAGAACAGCAGCACCGGCUCCUCCCUGGGUCUCCAGCUUCUCAAGUCUGAGGGUUGUAGAGCUGGAGGCCCAGGGAGGAGUCAGUGCUGCUGUUCUAGUGGGAGGGUCAUGGAGCUGGAGACCCGGGGAGGAGCUGCAGCUGCUGUUCUAGUUUGAAGGUGGCAGAGCUGGAGACCAGGGAGGAGCCAUAUGAACAGCAGCACUGACUCAUUGCCGGGCCUCAUGCUCCAUGACCCUCGAACAUUAAAGGCAAUAGUACUGGCUUCUCCCUGAGCCUCCAGCUCUACAACCCUCAGACACGAACAGCAGCAGCACCAGCUUCUCCCCGGUGUCCAACUCCAUGCCCUCAAACUACAACAGCAGCACUGGCCUCUCCCCAGGUCUCCAGCUCUAUGACCCUCAAAAUAGUACAGCAUCACUGGCUCCUCCCUGAAUCCCCAGCUCCCAAACCCUCAAACUUCAACUGAAGCACCGGAUCCUCCCUACACUUGAACAGCACCAUGGAUGGGCUCCUCCCCAAAGCUCCCGAUCCAUGACCCUCUGACUUAAAUGGCGGUAGCACCAGCUCCUCCCUAGGUCUCCAGCUCCACGACCCUCAAACUACCAACAGCAGCACCGGCUCCUCCCUUGUCCUCCAGUUCAACGACUCUCAGACUUGAAAGGCAACACCGGCUCCUUCCCAAGGCUCCAGCUCCACCACCCUCAGAUUUAAAUACCGGUAGCACCAGCUCCGGUUUAGGUCUCCAGCUCCAGGAUCCGAAAAUUACAACAGCAGCACCACCUCCUCCCUGGGUCUCCAGCUCCACAACCCUCGAACUAAAACAGCAGCACCAGCUCCUCCCCAGUCUUCAGCUCCACGACCCUCAGCCUUAAACAACAGCAACACCAGCUCCUCCCUGGGUCUCCAGCUCCAAAACCCUCAAAUUAAAACUACACUGCUCCUCCCUGGGUCUCCAGUUCCAGGACCCUCAGACUGCAACAGCAGCACCAGCUCCUCCCUGGACCUCCAGUUUAAAGCGAGAUCAAGUGAUCACAUCUGUGAUCUGAAAUCAUGUUUGCUUCGCACCAAACCAAAUGUUCUUCCAGAUUAUUUUCUUUACAUUCUCCCCAGAAUGGGAAGCAAUAUUAGUUGUUCUCAAUAAAGAGUGACCUUUCAUCA